UAAAUUUCUUGAUAUGUAAAAACUCGCGAAACACGAAUUUGCCUGAUGAUUCGAUAAAUCCACUUUCCUUUUUAAUUCAUAGACAGUAUAAAGCAAAAAAAGUAUAUUUGAUAUAACAUACCACGCCGUCAAUGCACAUAUGCGGUGUUAGAGUUAAGAAUAUCCCCUCAUAUGCUUUCCUGUAAACAUUCUAUGCUCGCCAGAGA